rnacentral:rRNA from 1 species
GCGAUCAUAUCAGUACUAAUGCAUCGGAUCCCAUUAGAACUCUGAAGUUUAGCGUGCUUGGGCGAGAGCAGUACUAGGAUGGGUGACCCCUUGGGAAGUCCUAGUGUUGCACCU